rnacentral:rRNA from 1 species
UACGUAGGUGACAAGCGUUGUCCGGAUUUACUGGGCGUAAAGAGCGCGCAGGCGGUCGUUCAAGUCGGGUGUGAAAGCCCCCGGCUCAACUGGGGAGGGGCAUUCGAUACUGAUCGACUCGAAGGCAGGAGAGGGUAGUGGAAUUCCCGGUGUAGUGGUGAAAUGCGUAGAUAUCGGGAGGAACACCAGUGGCGAAGGCGACUACCUGGCCUGUUCUUGACGCUGAGGCGCGAAAGCUAGGGGAGCAAACGGG